CUAGAAUUCUAAACUCAACCGCCU
rnacentral:siRNA from 1 species